rnacentral:lncRNA from 1 species
UCUGAGUGGUCGCAGUCGGGGAAGGGGGUUACCUGGGCGUAGUGGCACAUGUCUGUCAUCCCAGCUACUCGGGAGGCUGAGGCACGAGAAUCACUUGAACUCAGGAGGCGGAGGUUGCAGUGAGCCAAGAUCACACCACUACACACCAGCCUAGGUGACAAGAGUGAAACUCCAUUUCUACAUGAAGUACAUACCAGCUGCAAACAUUGAUUCCGUAUCGAUGAAUGAGGGGCUGAGGUGAGGCGUGCUGACCCAGCAAUGAGACUGGACAGAAAGGUGACUAAUAUAACAAUGUAGAGGACCCUGCAGUGUGGAGAGGCAUGAAACUGAAGGUCCAAUGCCGUGAGUUAACCAAGAUGUCCAUACAGAAGAUGCAUUGGCGGGUUUUAGGAAUAAUGUUUCCAAAGGAUCAAGAAGGAAGCAAAACGCUGGGCACAGUGGCUCACACCUGUAAUCCCAGCGCAUUGGGAGGCAAUGCACUUGAGCCAAGGAUUUCAAGACCAGCCUGGGCAACAUGGCAAAACCCCA